rnacentral:rRNA from 1 species
AGUGGCGAACGGGUGAGUAACGCGUGAGUAUCUGCCCUUAGGAGGGGGACAACAGUUGGAAACGACUGCUAAUACCCCAUAUGUCUACGGAAAAGAUUUUAUCGCCUGAGGAUGAGUUCGCGUCUGAUUAGCUAGUUGGUGAGGUAAAGGCUCACCAAGGCAGCGAUCAGUAGCUGGUCUGAGAGGAUGAUCAGCCACACUGGGACUGAGACACGGCCCAGACUCCUACGGGAGGCAGCAGUGGGGAAUUUUCCGCAAUGGGGGCAACCCUGACGGAGCAAUACCGCGUGCGGGAGGACGGCCUGUGGGUUGUAAACCGCUUUUCUCAGGGAAGAAGACCUGACGGUACCUGAGGAAUCAGCAUCGGCUAACUCCGUGCCAGCAGCCGCGGUAAUACGGAGGAUGCAAGCGUUAUCCGGAAUUAUUGGGCGUAAAGCGUCCGUAGGUGGUUAAUCAAGUCUGCUGUUAAAGAGCGGAGCUCAACUCCGUUUAAGCGGUGGAAACUGGUUGACUAGAGAGUGGUAGGGGUAGAGGGAAUUCCCAGUGUAGCGGUGAAAUGCGUAGAUAUUGGGAAGAACACCGGUGGCGAAAGCGCUCUACUGGGCCACAUCUGACACUGAUGGACGAAAGCUAGGGGAGCGAAAGGGAUUAGAUACCCC